GACAGUCAGAGAUACAUAAUUAGACCUUGUUUUAAAAAACUUAGCCCAUGACUGGAAAAGAAUAUUUAAUAAAAAUGAGACCUAAGAACUUAUGUCCAUAUGUCUCAAAAGUCUGAGGUCUAGAUUUAAUUUUUUUUUUAAUAAUAUUGGGCCCACAAAAAAAAAAAAAUCACCUCUGGCUAGAGAGAGGGUUGACUAGUUAAGAGUAUGGCUGCUCUUCCAAAAGACCAGAGUUUGAUUCACAGCACCUGCCACACCACAUCCAGUAGGAUCUGUGUGACAAGUUCCACAGACUGAGACAAUUGACCUCAAAAGGGGGAGGCCUCCUAGAACCGGUUGUGGAACUC
rnacentral:lncRNA from 1 species